AGAGUUUGAUCCUGGCUCAGGACGAACGCUGGCGGCGUGCCUAAUACAUGCAAGUCGAACGCUUCUUUCCUCCCGAGUGCUUGCACUCAAUUGGAAAGAGGAGUGGCGGACGGGUGAGUAACACGUGGGUAACCUACCCAUCAGAGGGGGAUAACACUUGGAAACAGGUGCUAAUACCGCAUAACAGUUUAUGCCGCAUGGCAUAAGAGUGAAAGGCGCUUUCGGGUGUCGCUGAUGGAUGGACCCGCGGUGCAUUAGCUAGUUGGUGAGGUAACGGCUCACCAAGGCCACGAUGCAUAGCCGACCUGAGAGGGUGAUCGGCCACACUGGGACUGAGACACGGCCCAGACUCCUACGGGAGGCAGCAGUAGGGAAUCUUCGGCAAUGGACGAAAGUCUGACCGAGCAACGCCGCGUGAGUGAAGAAGGUUUUCGGAUCGUAAAACUCUGUUGUUAGAGAAGAACAAGGACGUUAGUAACUGAACGUCCCCUGACGGUAUCUAACCAGAAAG
rnacentral:rRNA from 1 species